CACAGCAGUGACCUGAAGCUUUUCUGAAACAUAGCAGGUACUUAAGACCUUCUUGAUGAAUGAAUGGAUAAAGUCAAACCCAUCUUUCUUUCACAUUAGGAGUUGUUUUUUUUUCCUUUUAUUUUCAGUUUUCUAUUCUAGAUAAGGAAUAAUGUAGGAAAUCUUAUCCUAUCAAGGCUUAUUUUAGAACUAUAUAGUAUUGACCAAAAAAACCUGACAAUUAGAACAAUGGAACAGAAUAGCAAUCUCCCAAAUGGAUGCAACCACAAGCCUGAGUUAUGACACUUUUGCCAUUGUUAUCAAUGAGGAAAAGAUUGAAUUUUCAAUAAAUGGUUCUGGGGCAAUUGGUUAUCCAUAUGGGAAAAGAAUGAAAUUGUAUGCCUAUGUUUUACCAUACACGAUAUUUAUUUAUUUAUUUAUUUUUCAGGGCUGCACCCACAGUAUAUGGAAGUUCCCAGGCUAGGGGUUGAUUCUGAGCUACAGCUGUCAGCCUACAUCACAGCUACAGCAAUGUGGGAUCCAAGCUGCACCUGCGACCUACACCACAGAUCAUGGCAAUCCCUGAUCCCUAACCCACUGAGCGAGGUCAGGGAUCGAAACUGUGUCCUCAUGGAUACUAGUUGGAUUCAUUUUCACUGUAUCACAAUGGAAACUAUAUGCACAAUGUUUAAUUCUAAGUGAAUUAAAGAUUUAAAUGUGGAAAGAACAGCCAUUAGUAAAAGACUUUUAAAAGAUAAUAUAGGAAAAUGUCUUUAUGAUCAAGAGGGACUUAAAUAAGAAAUAAAAACCCAAAGGAAAACAACUGAAAUACACUAUAAUAAAAUUAAGAAAGUCUGUUUAUGGAAUUAUAGCAUAAAGAAAAUGAAAAGACAGACCAUGCAUUUGGGAAAGCUAUUUUUAAACACACAGAACUGGGAUUCCAAAAUGCAACUUAACACACCACUUUCAAACAUGAACAGGCAGAAAAAGAUCUCCAGGCUUUGAGGAAAGCAUAAAAUGUGGAAAACAAAGAUUACUACAACAAAGAGGGAAAUGGAACAACUUAGAGCAUGUAGAGAAUAUGUCAGAAAAAGAAACUUUGACGUUCUUGAGUGUGCAAAGACUUGUGUCUAUUCAAUAACAGGAUGCUAUAAAAAAGAAAAAUUCUCUGAGAAAAGGAGCUCUUGAAAAAUGUAAAAGCUUGAUGGCAAAAAUGAAAAACUAAAUUGAAGGAUCAGAAGAUAAAGUUGAAGAAAACUCCUAAAAAAUAGAGAAAAUGACAAAAGAAUGGACAAUGAGAGAAAAAAUAAGGAAACACAAAGAUUAGACCAGGAGAUCCAUCAUCUGAACAGCAAUCAUUCCACAAGAAAGAUCAGAGAAAUUAAACAGAAGAAAACUAUUAAUGAAAUAGUUAAAAGAAAAGUCUUCAGAAUAGAAUAUGAUUUUACAGGUUGAAAGAUUCAGUUAGUACUCAGCAGAAUGGAUGAAAAUAGCCCCUAUCUUGGCAUGGCACAUUGCCAUGAAAUUUUAGACCAUUUGCAACAAAAAAAAAAAACAGAUUUUAUAGUCUUGCAGAAAGAAAAGCACAGCUUUCAUACAAAGGAUCAAGAUGCAAAAAGGCUUUGGUCUUUUCAACAGCAAGACUGGAAGUUGAUGUUUUCAAAAUUCCAAAGGAAGGUGAUUUCCAACAUAGAUCUAUCAUCAGUCAAUAAAGACACUUUUAGAUGUUCGUGUUUCAAAAAUUUAUCAUUCAUUUAUCCUUUCUCACAAAGCUACUGGCACAUGUGCUCCAUCAAAACAAGGGUGUAAACCAAGACAAAGGAAGACCCAGAGCCCAGGAAACAGGAGAUGUACUGCAAUAGGGAAGCAAAGGCAGCCCCUCGACUGAUUUCCCUAGGAUGACAGUCCUAACAACGAGGUCCCUAAGGACAGCUGCUGACCAUCCUGAUUAGAACAGGUUGGAAGAUUUUUUCAAGAGGUAAAAAGAAUGGACUAAUAUAUUUGAACAUUUUGAAAGAAGAUUUAUGCAAUUGGGGGAAAUUUGGGGGCUACUUCAUAAUGGGCUCAUAAAAAACUAAAUAAGGAAAAAAAUAAAUUAAUUAUUUUUUUUUUUGGCCAUGCCUGUGGGCAUAUGGCUGUUCCUGGGCCAGGGAUCAAACCUGUGCCACUGUAGCAACCCCAGCCACUGCAGUGACCACGCUGGGUCCUCAACCUGCUGCACCAGAAGGGAACUCCAAAAAUAAGUUGAUUAUUAAUUCAAGGAAAACCUAACUUUGCAGAGAAGACAAAAAGUCAUCAUAUGAACCACACGGCUAGGCUAUGAAUAGUACUCACAUAGUCAUAAUUAUGUAAAGUCUAACUAAUGAUAUAACCAAAAUAUGAUAUAAGAUUACUGGGAGGAUGGGGGAGAUGAGAAGUAGGAGUGUAUGUGGGGAGACGACAUGCAUGAAAGAGCUAAGUUCUCAUAUUCCUACAACCGCUAUGGAGAACAGUAUGGAGCUUCUCUAAGAAAGCUAAAACUAGAACUACCAUAUGAUCUAGCAAUCUCCUUCCUAGGCAUAUAUCUGGAGAAAACCAUAAUUCAAAAAGAUACAUGCAUCCCAAUGAUCAGUGCAGCACUAUUUACAACAGCCAAGACAUGGAAGCAACCUAAGUGUCCAUCAACAGAUGAAUGGAUAAAGAAGAUGUGGAUUCAAAGGAAGAUUGCUCUUAAAAAAGAAUGAAAUUAUGCCACUUGCAGCAACAUGGAUGCAACUAGAGAUUCUCAUACUAAGCGAUGUAAGUGAAAAAGAGAAAGACAAAUACCACAUGACAUCACUUAUAUGAGGGAUCUAAAAUACGGCACAAAUGAACCUACCUACAGAACAGAAACAGACUCAGACAAAGAAAACAAAGUUAUGAUUACCAAAAGGAAAACAUGGGGGCAGGGGGAAGGGAUAAACUAGGAGUUUGGGAUUAACAUAUAUACCCAUUAACAUUUUAUAAAAUAGAUGACCAACAAGGGCCUACUCUGUAGCACAGGGAGCUCUACUCAAUAUUCUGUAGUAACCUAUAUGGGAAAAGAAUCUGAAAAAGAAUAAAUAUGUGUGUGUGUGUAUAUCUAUAUCUGUCUAUAUCUAUAUAUGGAUAUAUCUGGAUCACUUUGCUGUACACCUGAAACUAAUACAACAUUGUAAGGUAAUUAUACUCCAGAAAAAUUCUUAUAUUCCAAAAUGGGAAGAAAAUAGGUCUUUUUCUAAAACUGAAUAAACAAUAUAAGCGUAUUAUCUAAAGAU
rnacentral:lncRNA from 1 species